AAAGGCACUACUUUGCGGAAUCAGCCGCGCCGUCUCGCCGAGGCCCAGUUUCCGCGGCCUCUCCCGCCUCGGCUCCCGCGGCCGCGCUUUGGCUGACUUCUAGAAAGGAAAGCGGCCGAGGAGGCCUCUCCAGCCCUCCUUCGGUUGCGAUGCACCUCACCUGCCGGAAGAGGGAGGGCGUCCUGUGUCGGCGGGCGUGGACUCCGGGGCUGGCGGGCUUUUGGCAACGGAGCUGCGGCAAGGCCGGGGGAGCGGCCAGCGCUUCUCAAGUCUGGGCGCUGGAGCGUCGGGCUCGUCCUUUUGGCCGGGAGGGGGUGAGAAGGGCAUAAGUAAAAUAAUAAAUGAGCAGCAGAUGCUGGGCGCGCCUGCUUGGCUCCGGAGGAAAAGGCCGGCGAGGUUCCUGACGAAACGGGCAGCCCUGCAUGACUUCCCUUUGCAAAGGCUCGCUUGGACUUUUCGCGGGAAAAGACUUUUCGGUACAGGCGGGAGGCUGCCUGUCGCCUGGGAAGUGGGACUCUCUUCAAAAGAGAAACGCGCGGAGUAGCGCAGGCUUAAAGACGUUCGUUUUAUUCUAAA